GGUCGUGUAGCUCAGUCGGGAGAGCGCUGCACUGAAAAUGCGGAGGCCGCUGGUUCGAUUCCAGCCAUGACCA
rnacentral:tRNA from 1 species